AUUGAACGCUGGCGGCAGGCCUAACACAUGCAAGUCGAGCGGAGCGGCGGACGGGUGAGUAAUGCCUAGGUAUCUGCCUGGUCGUGGGGGAUAACGUCCGGAAAUGGGCGCUAAUACUGAAUACUAUUAGAUUAGCAUAGGCCGGAUUAGCUAGUUGGUGGGGUAAAGGCCUACCAAGGCGAAGAUCCGUAGCUGGUCUGAGAGGAUGAUCAGUCACACUGGAACUGAGACACGGUCCAGACUCCUACGGGAGGCAGCAGUGGGGAAUAUUGGACAAUGGGCGAAAGCCUGAUCCAGCCAUGCCGCGUGUGUGAAGAAGGUCUUCGGAUUGUAAAGCACUUUAAGUUGGGAGGCGUUACCAACAGAAUAAGCACCGGCUAACUUCGUGCCAGCAGCCGCGGUAAUUC
rnacentral:rRNA from 1 species